GGGUUGUCGCGCUCCCGGGACGGCGCGUUUGUUUGUUAAUUGAGGCGCUGCUGCGCCUGGCGCUCGCGCGGCGCUCCCGCUGCGGCCCUAAUGACUGGAACCGCGGGAACGCGGCAGGGCCCGGCUGCCGGCGGCGGGAAUCGUGUGAUUCGCGGGGAGUCGCACGGAGAGAAGCGGGGCCGCGGGGGGGAGCGAGCCCGCCCCGGGGGGCGGUGCGGGGCGCCCGAGGAGGAAAUGGAACGCGUGAGGCCAAACAAGGAACAAUCCCCGGGUUGUUGGCUGAGCCAACAGGCUCCUGUCGCCGCGUGAGCGAACGCGCGGAUUACCCCGUUAGAAGGAAAUGAGCGAUGAUGGGGCGAUAAACUCGCCCGCUGUGUGAUCACACUCGAUUUGCACUUGCCCGAGCGCCGCUCCCGACCCCGCGCCCGGCGCAGCUCGCUCGGGGCCGGGGAGCUCCGGGGCCGCGCUCCUCCGCGUGCUCGCGCUGCAACACGCGCGGUGCUGCUUCUGACCAAAAUCAGAACUUUUCCAGAAGUAGCAGGUGGUUAUUUUAGCGCUAAUUUAGUUAACACCAUUGCGGAAAAUGUUACGAGAUCGGACAAUGCCUGGUGAAGAAAACGUCUGGCACAGGACUCAGUGAUCAAUUGACUCAGAGUCAAUCUUUAAAAAGUCUCCAGUCCUGGAUGCGAUGCUCCAUUUUAAGAAGUGACUCUUUUGCUGGUGGCUGCUUGAAGCGCACCUUGUUUAAAAAUCUCUGCAGAAUGUAAAACUGAGUGAGCCUAGUCAGGGGACCCGAGCGCGUCUGUAAAUUACCGCUCUGUCAGGAUUCCUCUUGCCUGUUACAAAGUGCCUUUUUAUGCUGAACUUAAACUCUACACUACAGAGACAGCAGAUGUGAGGUGAUGGCUUCCAAAAGCAACACAGAUGCUGUAAAAUUUCCACCGCUAUAUUUCAGCGAGGAAGCUCUGGAGACAUGCUGAAUGCUGCAGUUUAGAAUUACACUAUAACUCUCCUAGAAAUAAGAGAAAACCAAGUUUCUCCACAGUACAUUUGGCUUCGUUUUUGCUGUCAUUCAUGAGCUCUUGUUUUCUUACAGCGAGAAAAAGAGAUGCAGCACAAAGAUACUGUGUGUCUUGAAGCUGUUCAGUAAUGACAGAAUUGGUAAUAUGGAACUUUAUGGCAAUUUAGUAAUGACUGCGUAUCCAAAUUCCCUAGUAAGACCAUGAUAAUUUUUAAAAUUGUCUUUCAGGUAUACAAAACAGCACAGCUGUGAGGAGGCUGCUCUGCUUUAUGUGACUGAAAAGCAGCCUGGUUAGCUCAAGGCUGUGGAAUCAGAGCCCAUUGUGUGUUCCUCAUACUUGGAGACUUCCCUGAAGUCCCUAGAAGUCCUGUGAAGAAGGAAUCAAGGGUCAAGUCUUUAAAAUGGAAACACAACAAGCUUUGACAGAAUUCAGAGGACUGGAAGACUUUGUCUGAAAGCUCAAACUGAAUUUGAAAAAUGUUACUGUAGUCCUCCUCUGGCAUUGUGACCUGGAUGCCUGCUGGCCCUGCUCUGCAAGGCUGAGGCUGCAUUCCACCUUUGACAUUUUGCCAUGAUCUUUCCAGUUUGAAGGGAGUGCUGGAAGUGGGGAAUCCCUCAAAGUGAUCUGUCAUCAGAAUUCUCAUUUAAAUGCAUUUUACUGUGUUCAGAAUAUUAAUUCCCACUGGACUCAACUCGCUUGGAAGUAAGAAUUUGCAACAACUAUGUCUUAAAUACUACUGUGAAACCUUUAGUGUAUUCUUCCAAAAUUGGUGCGGAGAACAUUAGUGUGAGACUCCUGCAAAAUCCACUGGACCUUGUAUCAUGACAAGAAGAGAAAACAAAGCAACUAUUAAAAAUCAGGGAGGAAAAUUGUUAGCAUGAUCUGCAUUAGUUUCAGUAUGUAUUUUAUUCUGUCAUUAGUUCAGUGUCAAAAUUCAGUUUGUAGCCAGCAGCUACCACCAACUGGCAGCAUGUGGCAUUUCUUAAGCAAAAGUUAAUUGUUAUUCUUUAAUGCUUGUUUUGUAUUGUAGCAGCUUUGCAGAAAUACCUUUCUAGAUAUUCUUAACUUUGUUUUUAUGAUAGUUUAACUUAGUUCAUGACUGCUAAGUAAUGCUAUGCUGUUUAAGUCUUCACAGGCAUUAAUGAUCAAAUCUGUAAAGGAGCAUGCUCUUAGUAAAACAGCAGGAUUGUUGUUUUUUUAUAUAUUUUUAAUAAAUUCUUCAGAAUUUUUAUGAUUUCCUGAAAAUAGAUAUAUUUAGUUUACUCCUGUGUGCUUAAAUUUACCUGGGUGUGAUAUUGACCAAAAUAGGUGGGGUCUCUUCUAUUUCUUCUCCUGACAUGGCAGACACUUUUUAUUGACUUCUGUCAGCACAGUUUUAUUACAGAACAUUGUUAGUACUAGAAGUUUCCUUUUAUUAUUUUGGAACUAUUUAAAAUAAAUAUUUGAGAGAAAAUAUAAUAGCCAGACAACAUUUAAAAGAAAUAAAUAGUUUGAGUAUUGUUAAGAAAUAGAUUCAUCAACCCAAAAUGUGGCAGGAAGGACAACAGAGAAAGAAAAAUGCAAUAUUGAAGCAUAAGAGUGAACUCAUAUGGUACCAGCUGCUCAUGUGUGGAAUCUAAAUACUUUCUGAAGCAUAGUGCUCCACAGUCAAUUAGCAUUACUUCAAAUUAUUAUUGUACAAGGAAGAAAUUUUAGUACAUUAUAAUUCACGAGUUGGAAAAAGUAGAAAAAAUGUUCAUGGUUUCCCAGAAAAGCAGUAAAAAAUAUGUAAAUUCUAUUAGAAUUAAUUUAGAAAUUCUGUGAAGUGAAAGAAGAUAUUGUAAUCCUGUCUCUAAAGUGUGUCAAGAAUGACAGAAUAGUGCAACUUCUCUCACAUAAUUUGUAUGCCUUAAUCAGAAUUUUUAUGAUAAUGUCAAGAACUGAGAAGGGAAUAGAACUGAGAAGCGAGUAGAGUUGCCAAAUCUGUCCACUCUUGAAACUGGAAGAAUUGAGGGGAGUAAUUGGGUGCAAAAUAAACAUGUGUUCACAAGUAAUUGGACUGACACUAUUAAAUUUCUUUCAUUUCAGUACUAGGUAGUAAUUACUUUAACUUCAAGGAAAAGAGAAGAUUACAUCCUGUAAACUUUCUCAUGCAAAAUAGUCUGUCCUCCUGUGAGUGAUGCUGGUUACUUUAAAAUGUCUGUUUGCUUGAGAAAAGGUUUGUCAAAUCUGGCCAUUAAAUGGGAGAGGGGAUUAGGAAACAAAAAAUCUGGUUUGCAGUGGGGGUUAACUUUUGGGGGUGUAGGGCAGAGUAUAGACAAUGAAUAUUACCAUCUUCUAAGUGUUCAAUACUAUUAAAACUAUUUAAAAUAUUAAAAUAUUAUUUUCUUUAUGGAGAGUCCUUUGUUGGCAGAAAAUCUGUGAAAUAGAAAGUGAAGGCAAAUCCUAUGGUAAAAUGUAUAUAAAGAAUCUAAUGUCAAAACCCAGAGUUAAGGCAUGCAUCUACAGGUUUAGGAAAUUAUGAGGAUAAACUGUAAAAGUGUUUCUAUGCUUAAAAAGCCUAAUUGUCAUUGUAUGUAUCAGUCUCUUGUCUGUUUUGUAGACAUGUUUGUGCUAUCUACCUGACAUUUUGGAAUCAAACAAUAUUUUUACAAGAGUCACUAAUUUGGUUUGGGAUGUAAGAAAUAGUUGUUAACUUUAUGAGUAUGUUUUAUGGGUAGUAAAUGUGAAUGUAAUAAUUUUCACUUUUAAAUAAGCUGCUUCGUUCUGUAUGUAAAACAAAAUAGCUUCAAGAUGCUUGGUUUUGUAAUUAACAAAUGUCUAGUUGAUCAAAAAUAUCCUCUCUAGUAUGGGGCAUGGAGAUUAGUCUAGACUGUGUUACAGAAUAAUGUGAUUAUAAUGAUUUCCUUAAGAGAGCACAAAAGCAACAUCUAAGUUUCCACUGACGUUUAUUGACACACAGCAUCUGUUGGGAGCCCCAUCAAACUUUCUAUUCUUUUCUGUUUACCACCUCCUGCUUUUAUUUACAGUCAGCAUAUCUGUUAAUUAGCCUCUGGUAGAGCCAGUUCUUCUAAGAAGAUCUCUUGUCUUCCUGGUGAUGGCCCCAUGAGGUGACCAUGUACACACAGUCUGUGAGUGAAUUAAUCUUUAACUCAUUAAUUUCAGUGCCUGAUUCUGCGAUGUUUAACUACUGGCUCGGUUUCCUGCUCAGCAAUUUGUAUUUGGAGAAUUGUGAUCCUUGACUUCUGCUGACCUCAAUGUCAUGAACACAUCACAGGGAGCUCUCAGCUCCUCGUGGAUAACCUCACUGAAAUUCAUGUCUUCCAGCAGCUUUUUGGUUCUCUGUGAUUGCACCGGAGUGCAGACAGGACAUUGAUGACUUCUCCGUGUCACUGAGGUUAUUUACCUACUUUUUAUUGCACAUUUGCAGAAUUAAAUUUCUCCUGCACUUCCUCUAUCUAAGCCAUCACACCAUAAUCUGAAUACAGCAUUUUGCGAAACAAACCUGAAGUAACAACACGAGGAUCUCACAGGAGGGUACCACACUGUUUUACAGUCUGAGUUAGAGCUGGUGAGGAUAUGAAGCUUUAUUGCCACAGUCUGAGUGCUGGAGGUGCUUGUAGUGCGCUUCUCUCGCAGAACACGGCUUGUUGAUUAGAAAAGAAAAACCUUGUAGCUAUACUUGAAGGAAAAAUUCAGGAUUCAGAGAUCUCCUGCCCAGGCCUGCAGUGUGAGCUAGAAAUGCUUGGAGAGGUGAGAGCUGAUCUGUGCAUCUCACCGGGGUGUUAAUGGUUGUUUGUUUCACCUGAAACCUGAGAAAAGAAUGACUGAGCCACUUAUUCGCACAGUCGGAUGUAGGGAAUGCCUGAAGUGAUGACCGAGUUCCUCGCUUUUGCCCUCUCACUCCUCCAGUGAGAGAGUCCUUGAGGAGUAGCCAAACUCUGAAGACUUAAGCAAAGGUUAAAGAUGCCCUUGAAAUCCUGCCCAGAGCAAGUGCAAGUAUUAAAAGCCAUAAAGAACAUGCUGUGGUAAUGUGAACAUUUUUUUAUAAUUUAAUGAGAGCUUUACUGAUAAAAAUUCACUGUUUCAAUUAUAAAAAAAAAAAAAGAGAGAAAGAAAAAAACUCCAACAGAACAAACCCAAACCACCCAACCAACAGCAUAAUCCUUGGAAUACAUCCAGCUUUUGUACUGGAAAAGUAACCUCAAAGGAGUAUGAUCUUCUCUCUUUAGAUGGAAAGUAUAUUUGCUUAUCUGAAAGGUUUUAUGCUGGCAGAACUGUGUUGCAUUGUCUCCUUUUUGUGGCUAGGCAGAUCCAGGUAAAGUAACUUAGUUUUAAAAGAACUAGAAACCUUAAUUCCUUUAAAUCAAAUUCCUAAGACAUCCAAAUGUCCAGGAUGCUGUGAAAAGAGACAUAAAAAUUAAGACUGGAAGGUGAAUGUUUGCUACUGAUAGUUCAUGGCUUUGGAGGGCUAGCGGUGAUGCAGUGUUGUGACAAAAAAAAUCAAUGAAAAAGUAUCAGUUAAUGUUUCCUUUACCACCUUUAAUUGUAAGAAGUCAAUGUUGACUGAUCUGUUAAUUUUUCAUGGGAAAGUUUACAGUGAGGGGAAAGGGGGAGUAAUAUUUCUUCAAAACAUGUUAGCUGCUUUUACUUGUUUUGUGGUUGAAGGACAGUGAAAUAAGAGAUGCUGGAAAUGUUUUAUAAAAUUAUGUGGCUCUUCAUCAGUGUUUUAUAGGUACUGUUUAAGCCAUCUUUGCUAAGGAGAAGCUCUUUUACUAUUAAUAUGCUGUCAUCUUUCAAAUCUCAUCAAGGCAGCACCAGGAUUUUUUUUGCACAGAUUUCUUGUGACGUACAGCCUCAAUAAAUAUGGAAAUUACAACUUAAAUCUCCUUUUUUUUUUUCUUGCAAAGCAGUGCAGUGCCCAAAUUAAUUGAAUUUCAACUUUUAUUUUUUCUUAAUGUUGAAAGACAUAUAUGCAAAUUUUAUUAACAAUAUGCAUGGUUAAAUUUAGCUGUAAAUUCCAGUCAGGGAUUUUUGCUUUGUUUAUUGUCCAAGUCAAUAUGUCUGUGGAGAAAACCUCCUGCUGUGCACGAAUACAUAGUCAGCUACUUGGAAAAGUAGAAAGUUUAAUUAUGAGAGUUUAUUCUGGGAAAAGAUAAAGCAAGCAUUGAUUUUUGGGUUGGGGAUUUUUUUUUUAUUAUGACUUCAGCUAACAGAAAUUCAACAUACACAGUUUAUUUUGACACUAACUGUUAUCAGACAAACCACUUGAUUUUUCUUUAACCUGGUCUGCUGUGUAACUGAGGUUCUGAAAGAAAGUAGAGGUCAUGAAUAAAUGAUGCAUUUCUUAAACUUGCAAGGUAGAUCAUGACAUAAAUGAAAUAAAAUCCAAGUGUGAAGAGAAAAAAGAAGCAUAAACACAUGUAUUGCUGACAAUAUCUUCAUUAAAAUAUACUUUAUCCUAUGAAGAGAUUAGUGUCAGAUGCAAAUUUCCUUUGCUGCUCUCUCUGAAGUUAUUCUGAUUUUUUUGUGUGGCAACAGUGAAGUAUCUUUAUACAAGGUUUCUGAGUGGAAGGGUAAAUUAUUGCCAGGGAGUACAUGUUAUAAAUGAUAUCCAAACAUAUUCUUGUGUUUCUAACAGAAAGCCCUCCAAGACUGUAGUUACUGGAGUGGUUCCCAUGUGUUCACUUUUUGUAAGUAAUUUUCAUGGAAUACAUUUUAUCUACCAAUGUAAAAAACCCCACUGCUUUCAAAUAAAGUGUUUCUCCUGUCUAUGCAGAGCUUAUGCAAUACUGUAAUAAUCUGUAUUUCUCCUUGUGUUCAAUGCAUAUUUCUCCUUCCUAAACCUGGCCAAAUGCAAUAUGAAGAAUGUUUUUUAUGAUAAUUCUACUAUGCAUGAUAGUAAUUAGCUUUAAGGCAAUAAAAUUUUUAAAAAUUGUGUUAUGGAGACAGUUUGAGUUGCAUGACUUGCAUCGGGUAAGCAUGUUGUUUUUUCCUUUGUGUCUGUGUAGGAUUGAUCCAUAGCUUGGGCUUACAGGUUCUACAGUAACACAAAUGGUUCGUGAUAAUUGUGUGUGGGGAAGGAUUGGAAGCUUUACAGAGGAAAUUUCUGAACCUGUACAUAAAUUCAGAAUAAGCAACUGCUUGUAACUUCCCUUCCCCUAAACAACUGCUUUUUACUGAGUCUCAUAACAUGGUCCACCAUGUAGACAUAAAAUGUAUUUAUGGUAUAGUGAGAGUUUUGUUCCGAGUCACUGGUGCAUCAGGAGUUCAUUCAUAAUGUUCUUCUGGUUGCCUGAUACAGUGAGACAGGGCCUUGAGAGGCACAGACACUGAUGUCUCAUGGGAGCAGUCCUUGGACCCAAAUUGUCAGAGCUGUGAAGAUGUUCCUGUAGAACUGAGCGGGACUUCAUGUUCUUAAGUAGAAUUCAGUAACUUAAAUACCUUGUAACUCCCCAUUGUAUAAAGCUGAGUUGCAAUAUGGCCCCUUAAUUCCCCACACAUCACUGCAUUCUUCCAUACACGUUUCUCUCAUUGGCUAUUUGCUGUUAAUUGGCACUUUGGAUACUUAAUUAUGCUUCUGUUUUGGGAGAGGUUUUUUCCUAAUCUUAUCCUGUAUUUCUUUGGACUGUCUGUUCCUCUUCACCUCUUUCCACUCUUACACUUUCUAUAUGUAAUAAAGGCACUUUAAUUUCCAGUGACUGGCUUCCCUCUUACAAUGGCAUGUGUGGAACAUAAGACUGCUGGUAUUUAUGGAGCAUCUUGUAAAGAUGCUAUAAAAGGAAUUGUUAGGGAUCAAAAUUGACUGGGAUUUGGCUGUUGUGUCCAAUCUACUUUUUGACCAAUGUAUGACUGACCAAUAUUCAAGUUGCAUAUUAGCUAAAUUCUACUUCAUUUGACUGACAAAAAGGUAGGGAUGUGUGUCACAGGUAGUCAAAGGAUGCAGAACCUUGUGCCAGUCUAAUGCUUUUGUCACAGGAACUACUCUCUGCUCUGCUGUUUGCUCUUCAGCAAUAGUAAACCAGGGCAUAAAUCAACAUAACACUUUCUUCCCAUGCUAAACUUUAUCUUAGUUUUAGGAGUAGGAUUCAGUUUGGGAAGGGAUUUUAAUGCUUAGAUAUCACAGAUUGCUUUUUGUUUCUGAAAUAUGCUUUCUGUCUUUCUAGUCAAUAAAGGAACAUUAAUUAAUUAAGAAA